GCAGGGGUGGCAGAGCCUGGUCAAAUGCGCGGCCUUUAGGGGGCUGUCCCUUAGGGGUACAAGGGUUCAAAUGCGCUUUUUUGCU
rnacentral:tRNA from 5 species